rnacentral:snRNA from 1 species
UUCCCAAAAUCUUUUUCUCAA